rnacentral:lncRNA from 1 species
GCACUAUCAUUUUCUAUGUUCAGUGAACCGUAAAAUUGGGGUCAAAACUCUAAUUUAGCAUUUAAAUUAGAAAGAUCAUAUCAUAGGGCACAUGUAUACUAAGUUUCAAGUUGAUUGGACUUCAACUUCAUCAAAAACUACCUUGACCAAAAACUUUAACCUGAAGCCAAAAACUUUAACCUGAAAUUUGCACUAUCAUUUUCUAUGUUCAGUGAACCGUAUAAUUGGGGUCAAAACUCUAAUUUGGCAUUUAAAUUAGAAAGAUCAUAUCAUAGGGCACAUGUAUACUAAGUUUCAAGUUGAUUGGACUUCAACUUCAUCAAAAAACUACCUUGACCAAAAACUUUAACCUGAAGCCAAAAACUUUAACCUGAAAUUUGCACUAUCAUUUUCUAUGUUCAGUGAACCGUAAAAUUGGGGUCAAAACUCUAAUUUGGCAUUUAAAUUAGAAAGAUCAUAUCAUAGGGCACAUGUAUACUAAGUUUCAAGUUGAUUGGACUUCAACUUCAUCAAAAACUACCUUGACCAAAAACUUUAACCUGAAGCGGGACAGACGGACGGACGGACGGACGGACGGACGAACGAACGGACGCACAGACCAGAAAACAUAAUGCCCCUCUACUAUCGUAGGUGGGGCAUAAAAAUAAUUUUU